ACAGCAAAGUGAAGAAUAAUAUACAGGCAGAGGGCAGGGACUCUGCAGAUAAAGACACCGCCACACACUUCUAGUGGGUCAAAGGUGAUGAUGUAGAGGGAUUAUUUCUGGAUGAGUAUAAAUGUUGUUUUUUAGAAAAAA